UGGAGGCAUGGAGACAUUCUUAACUUGCUCACGACCGUAUACCUGGCAUGUGCUAAGCAGGGAUUAAGCAUCACUUGCUCCCAAACACAGGAUGGCUCCUUACUGUGGAAGGGACCCUAAGGUUUGGUCAUGUCCCAAGGGAUGUGCAGAACAGAAGGUGCCCAAGUUCCUUCCCUCCCUCUGGCCAGUUUUCUUUCUUUCUUUUCUUCUUUCUUUCACACUCUCCUCCUCUUCUUCUUCCUCCUCCUCCUCUUCCUCUUCCUCUUCUUCUUCUUCCCCUUCCUCUUCUUCUUCUUCCCCAACCUCUUUCUCUCUCCUAGGAAGGCUUCAACCCUCCCAUACAGUUCAAACAAUAUUCACUCCUAAGUAUGAACUGCCUUACAUGGACUCGACUGAACUGGAUGGCCAGUUUUCUAGAAAUGCAGGUGCUAGAGGGACAUGGUCAGUGACAUCAGAACUCAGCCUGGGGAAACCGCAGAACUUGGGAGAUGUUUUCUGCAAUAAGCCAACUGCAAGGACAAAGCUAGGGGGCGCUUGUGGGCUAAAGAGACUGGAAAGCCAUAUCAGACAGCCUCGGUAAAUGGACC
rnacentral:lncRNA from 1 species